rnacentral:misc_RNA from 1 species
UAAUAAGUGUUUUAUGGCACUUUUUAAAUCCAUAUCCACCUUGUGUGCAAUGUCAGUCGAUCUUCUUCAUGGAGAUUGGCCAAACAUCAACCUUUAUUUUUUAACUCUUUGUCUGAAAAAUAUUAUGAAUAAACAAUUCAAAAUA